AACGAACGCUGGCGGCAUGCCUAACACAUGCAAGUCGAACGAGACCUUCGGGUCUAGUGGCGCACGGGUGCGUAACGCGUGGGAACCUGCCCUUAGGUUCGGAAUAACUCCCCGAAAGGGGUGCUAAUACCGGAUAAUGUCUUCGGACCAAAGAUUUAUCGCCUUUGGAUGGGCCCGCGUUGGAUUAGCUAGUUGGUAGGGUAAAAGCCUACCAAGGCGACGAUCCAUAGCUGGUCUGAGAGGAUGAUCAGCCACACUGGGACUGAGACACGGCCCAGACUCCUACGGGAGGGAGCAGUGGGGAAUAUUGGGCAAUGGGCGAAAGCCUGAUCCAGCAAUGCCGCGGGAGUGAUGAAGGCCUUAGGGUUGUAAAGCUCUUUUACCCGGGAUGAUAAUGACAGUACCGGGAGAAUAAGCGCCGGCUAACUCCGUG
rnacentral:rRNA from 1 species